rnacentral:rRNA from 1 species
UACGUAGGGAGCGAGCGUUAUCCGGAAUUAUUGGGCGUAAAGGGUGCGUAGAUGGUUGAUAUAAGUCUUUUGUAAAAAUGCUAGGCUCAACCUAGUAGGGCAAAAGAUACUGAUGAACUAGAGUACGGCAGAGGCAAGUGGAAUUCCUAGUGUAGCGGUGAAAUGCGUAGAUAUUAGGAGGAACACCAGUGGCGAAGGCGGCUUGCUGGACGAUGACUGACGUUGAGGCUCGAAAGCGUGGGGAGCAAACAGG